CAAUCAUUCUCACCAUAAAGCCAAAGUGUUUCUCUGUAGGCAUAUGCCACUCCUCUGAGUCUCGCUCUGUCGCCCUGGCUGGAAUGCCAUGGUGCAAUCUUGGCUCACUACAAGCUUCGCCUCCUGGGUCCAGGCCAUUCUCCUGCCUCAGCCUCCUGACUAGCUGGGACCACAGGCGCCCGCCACCAUGCCUGGCUAAUUUUUUGUAUUUUUUUUUUUUUUUAGUAGAGACGGGGUUUCACCAUGUUAGCCAGGACGUUCUCAAUCUCCUGACCUCAUGAUCUGCCCACCUCAGCCACCCAAAGUGCUGGGAUUACAGGCAUGGGCCACCACACCCAGCCAGUAACACCAAUCUUUAAAUAACAUUUUGUAUUUUGAUAA